rnacentral:rRNA from 1 species
UACGGAGGGAGCUAGCGUUAUUCGGAAUUACUGGGCGUAAAGCGCACGUAGGCGGCUUUGUAAGUAAGAGGUGAAAGCCCAGAGCUCAGCUCUGGAAUUGCCUUUUAGACUGCAUCGCUUGAAUCAUGGAGAGGUCAGUGGAAUUCCGAGUGUAGAGGUGAAAUUCGUAGAUAUUCGGAAGAACACCAGUGGCGAAGGCGGCUGACUGGACAUGUAUUGACGCUGAGGUGCGAAAGCGUGGGGAGCAAACAGG